UUUCCCAUUUGACUACCACUUUUUCUCUUAAUAAUGGAUUUUAGUGGCUAUGCUUAUGGGAUAAAUGAAAAUUGCCAAAACCUGAAGAGGGAGGAUUUUGUGUGUGUGUCCUCCUCCUAUAUGAAAUGGGUGGUUAGAAAACU
rnacentral:snoRNA from 15 species